rnacentral:tRNA from 1 species
UGCGGGGUACUGUCAAUGGCAGACGGGAAGCCUCAUAAACUUCCGGAAGACGGUUCGAUUCCGUCCCCCGCUACCA